ACUAGAAGAAUAGAGAAGCUAAUAACUACACUUUAAGCCUUUUAUUUAGAAAAAACCAACCGAGUUUUCUUUCUUUCUAUCUUGUUUCCUUGCUUCUCCUUUUAUUCUCUCUCUCUCUCUCUCUCUCUCUCUCAAACACACACACAAGAAACCACCUACAUAUACAUGCACUCCUUAAAUUAACAAAAGACCUAAAGAGAUAAAAUCAGAAGGACAUGGUGUUGAAUAAAAGAAGAGUUUGAAUUGAUGAACAAAGAUAGCAUAUUAUAUGAAUAAUUAAGAUGAGUAACAACAAUAACUUGAGUUGUGUAAGAAACUCUGAUCUCAUAGAUGCAAAGCUAGAAGAACAUCAAUUGUGUGGAUCCAAUCACUGUCCUUCUUGCGGUCACAACUUCGAAUCCAAACCGGAUUGGCUAGGUCUACCUGCAGGAGUGAAGUUUGAUCCAACUGACCAAGAACUGAUUGAACAUCUUGAAGCUAAAGUGGAAGCAAAGAAAAUGAAAUCACACCCUUUGAUAGAUGAAUUUAUUCCAACAAUUGAAGGAGAAGAUGGAAUUUGUUACACUCAUCCUGAGAAACUUCCAGGAGUAACAAAAGAUGGUUUGAGUAGGCAUUUUUUCCAUAGACCAUCAAAGGCUUAUACAACUGGGACAAGAAAAAGAAGGAAAAUUCAAAAUGAAUGUGACUUGCAACAAGGUGGAGAAACUAGAUGGCACAAAACAGGCAAGACUAGGCCAGUAAUGGUAAAUGGAAAACAAAAGGGUUGCAAGAAAAUUCUAGUACUUUAUACCAACUUUGGAAAAAAUAGAAAACCUGAAAAAACCAAUUGGGUGAUGCACCAAUACCAUCUUGGUCAACAUGAAGAAGAGAAAGAAGGAGAACUUGUUGUGUCAAAAAUAUUUUAUCAAACACAACCAAGACAAUGUAAUUGGUCAGAUAGAAGUGCAACAACUAUUGGUGAAGGAAAUGGUGAACCUAAUUAUAGAGAUGAGAUGUCUAAUGUUAAUGUUAAUGUUAAUGUUAAUGGUGUUACUCCAACAACAAGUUUCAAUCAUACCUUGGAUAAUGUUCAAGCUCAACAACUAAAAUCAGAUCAUUUCAGCUUCAUUCCUUUUAGAAAAAGCUUUUAUGAGGUUGGAAUAGGAGAAGCUUCAACGGCAAGUGAAGUGCAAGCAGCAUCAAGGUCAUAUGAAGAAGAAGUACAUGAAAGACACAAACAACAAAAUCAUCACAUUGCAACCUCAGCAUUCCAUAUCUCUCCACCUCCUCUUCACCAAACAUCAAUCAUCCUUGAUGAAAACUCCUACCAAGUCUCUAGAAUUAUGCUUCAAAAUGAACAUUUUCAGUAAAGUUGAGCAUGGAAAUGCAUAAUGUUUAUACACAUGGCAUAUGUAGCAACAACAACAUAAGCUAGGAAUAGGAGGAAGGUCUACUUCUUGUUUGGAGGAACUCAUCAUGGGUUGCACUUCAACAACUCAUCAUAUCAAAGACAAAGAGGAAUCAUCCAUCACAAACUCACAAGAAGCUGAAUGGUUGAAGUACUCAUCUUAUUGGCCAGACCCUGAUAAUCCAGAUCACCAUGGAUAGAAACAUAUAUAUUAGAGAUAAAAAAUUAAAAUAUUAAAAAAUAAAAUUAAAAAACUUAUAGACAACAUCAUUGUCAUCAUCAUUAGUACUUGAAGCCUCCAUCAAUUUUCCUUUCAACAAAUUAUAUAUCAUCCAUGUUAACUUUGCUUAUUUUCUUCCUAUUUUUCUUUAUUGUGCAUGACCUUGAUUUAGAUAUUAUUGGAACUAUAACAAUGUGGACCGUAUUUAAAACCUUUGUAACUAUUGUAUAGUGCAAUAGUCUCUAAAUAUUAGAUUUAGAGAGAAAAUAUUAUCACUCUCUAAAUCUAAUAUAUAGUUCUUGCCACUACUACACAAUAUAUCAAUUAUAAAAGUUCUAAGUUUGUGUGAACAA